GAUGAACGCUGGCGGCGUGCCUAAUACAUGCAAGUCGAGCGAACAGAUAAGGAGCUUGCUCCUUUGACGUUAGCGGCGGACGGGUGAGUAACACGUGGGUAACCUACCUAUAAGACUGGGAUAACUUCGGGAAACCGGAGCUAAUACCGGAUAACAUUUGGAACCGCAUGGUUCUAAAGUGAAAGAUGGUUUUGCUAUCACUUAUAGAUGGACCCGCGCCGUAUUAGCUAGUUGGUAAGGUAACGGCUUACCAAGGCAACGAUACGUAGCCGACCUGAGAGAGUGAUCGGCCACACUGGAACGGAGACACGGUCCAGACUCCUACGGGAGGCAGCAGUAGGGAAUCUUCCGCAAUGGGCGAAAGCCUGACGGAGCAACGCCGCGUGAGUGAUGAAGGGGUUCGGCUCGUAAAACUCUGUUAUUAGGGAAGAACAAACGUGUAAGUAACUGUGCACGUCUUGACGGUACCUAAUCAGAAAGCCACGGCUAACUACGUG
rnacentral:rRNA from 1 species